CCCUUAGAGUUUGAUCCUGGCUCAGGACGAACGCUGGCGGCGCGCCUAACACAUGCAAGUCGAACGAGAGAUGAGGAGCUUGCUCUUCAAAUCGAGUGGCGAACGGGUGAGUAACGCGUGAGGAACCUGCCUCAAAGAGGGGGACAACAGUUGGAAACGACUGCUAAUACCGCAUAAGCCCACGGCUCGGCAUCGAGCAGAGGGAAAAGGAGUGAUCCGCUUUGAGAUGGCCUCGCGUCCGAUUAGCUAGUUGGUGAGGUAACGGCCCACCAAGGCGACGAUCGGUAGCCGGACUGAGAGGUUGAACGGCCACAUUGGGACUGAGACACGGCCCAGACUCCUACGGGAGGCAGCAGUGGGGAAUAUUGCACAAUGGGGGAAACCCUGAUGCAGCGACGCCGCGUGGAGGAAGAAGGUCUUCGGAUUGUAAACUCCUGUUGUGAGGAAGAUAAUGACGGUACUCAACAAGGAAGGACGGCUACUCUG
rnacentral:rRNA from 1 species